UGCAGGUGUGGCCUCAUCUGCUCUUGCAGUUUACACUGAAUAUGUGUCAUUCCUUUAGAAGCACUUGGAAGGCAGGACCCUCGGUCUCUUACUGGAAAGAAUGAGAUUGAGAGCAGAGUUUGAAACUCAUCUCGCUGAGGGACAUUUUAAUCUACCUCCUCUACAACUGGAGCACGUAAUCCUGGAGCUGACUUCAUACUUACACUUCUGCAACAAGCACUGGUGAAACCAUGGACCCACUAGUUAGAAAAUGGACUUAGAAAUCUCACAAGCCUUCAAGAAAGAAUGCACCUGCUCCAUCUGCCUGAAGUACCUUAUGGACCCAGUCACCAUAGGCAGUGGCACAGCUUUUUUUUUACCCUUUCUCUGCCUUUCCUGGGAACAAGUCCAAACUCCUGCCUGUUUCCCUGUGUGCAGAGAGCCAUCUCAACAGAAAUAUGUCAAAAACAAUAUUCUUCUGAAGAAUUUGAUGUCCACUUCCAGAAAAGCCACUCUCAGGAAAUUCCUGAGCUCUAGCAAAAUGUGUGUGAUCUACAAAGAGACAAAGAUGAUCUUCAGUGAAGAGAACAAGCCCCUGCUGUGUUUGCUCUGCUCCAGCUCUCAGGAGCAAAGGGCUCAGGGACAUCCUUCUGUAGAAGGGGCUGCUGAGGAGUACCAGGAGUGAGUCAGUGCAGCUGCACAUGCCUCAUCCUAUAAAGCCAGCACUUUCUGCCCAGACCAUCAUUUGACUGAUAGCUCAACUGCUUCCAUGAAGCACAUCCAUGGGUUGAGAGGCAGAGAGAAUAUAUAUUUGGCAUAAAAGCUGUCUCUAUGUUUGUUACAGUUAUGGAGUCAGAGAGACAAAGUGAGGGAGAGAUGAUCACUCAGACUGAUCAGCUAAUUUUCAGAAACAUGGAUUCAAAGGCCUUGCAAGACUUCCAGAGUGCACUCACAUGCUCCAUUUGCAUGAAUUACUUCUUACAACCUGUUACCAUAGACUGUGAGAACACCUUUUGCUGACCCUGCCUCUGCCUCUGCUGGGAGGAAGCCCAAACACCAAUGUGCUUCCAGAAGUGUAGAGAAAUAGCAGAGAAAGUAGACUUCAAAACCAACAUUGUCCUCAAGAAGCUGGCUUUGCUUGCCAGAUAGGCCACACCUCACUCUCAGAGCAGCUGUGGGGGGCAGCUCUGCAGGACACACGGGGACAAAAAUGGGCUCUUCUGUGAAGUUGACAAGAACUUGCUCUUUGCACCUUGUUCUGAAUCACUCAAACACAUUUUUAACAGCUAUAGUCCAGCAUAAUGGGUGGCUGAGGAGUACAGGGUGAGUGAUGGUCAUGAAGCAACUUGGAAACUGAAGCAUCCAAAUAAGAGAGAAAGAUGAGGGCAUAUGACAGUGGGGCAGAUGAUCAUGCAGAUGGAGUUAGUGCUGUUUAGGUAUAAAUUUCAAGAUAUGAAUAACUUUAAAUGUUUCCCAGUUUGAUACUAUGAUCAUAACUAAGAUGAAUGCUCAUGAAGUAAAGUUCCCCUAGAAACACUGUCCAAAUAACAGGACAUGGUGGCCAUGCCAAUAAUCCUACCUAUUCAGCACAUAGAGGUAGGAGAAUCCCAUGUUUCAGGCAACUCUGGGCAACUUAGCAAGACAUUAUUCUUUUUUGGUUUGUGUGUUUAGGGGACUGAGGAUACUUCUCAUGGUAAAUGCUUAUCUACCAUACAUUUAACCUUGGGUUCAAUCUUCAGUACUGAAAAUAAAAAUAAACAUAUUGUCCAAAUAUGUGAAAUUCUGGCAGCAGUAGAUCAGAUGGGUAGCACUAGGAACACGGGCUUCUUUAAUUGCAAGCUGGACCCUUUCAUAGUGAGGUUAUGUAACAAGUGCCUUGUCAGGAAAUGGACUACAUUAUCUAGGAUUCCUUCAAAUUAUUAUUAUUAUUAUUAUUAUUAUUAUUAU